rnacentral:misc_RNA from 1 species
AACCUAGCACACCUGCGGUGUGUACCUGCGGAGGGAUCAUUAAUGAAUAACUUUGGCGUGGUUGUAGCUGGCUCCUUGGAGCAUGUGCACACCCGUCAUCUUUAUCUUUCCACCUGUGCACCACAUGUAGAUCUGGAUAACUCUCGCCUUCUGGCGGAAACAGGGAUUGCUGCGUCGCAAGGCCAGCUCUCCUUGAAUUUCCAGGUCUACGUCUUUACAAACUCCAAUUGAAUGAUGAAG